GCCUUGGUACAACCAUUGCUUUUAUUGCUCUUGGAGGAGUGCAUCUAUUCAAAUGCUCCGUAUGUUGUGGCUUCUGUCAUCAAGGUUGGAAAGACCAAAAGGAGAGACUGCAGAGUGACCUUCUGGCAGUUUUUCUGUCUUCCCUCCACUCUGCAUUUGAGACUUAGGAGUUCUUCUGAUCCUUCUUUGGGAAGGACUCUAUAGCUCACUCAGAAGUGUUCAUACUGAAGUCUGGUUUAUUUUGAUCAUGAAAUGUCAUUAUGGUUAUAAACUGCUGCUUUUCAGGAACAAAAUGGUGUGAUUAUGGGUGAUCUGUGAGCUCAGUGUUCCAUCGUCCAGAGAGCAAGUAGCAUACAAGGAAUUACUAGAAAAGAAAUAGAGAAAAAAACAUGAGGAACUUUCUGAUACUGCUAUAAAACCAUCAUAUAUCUGCAUCUUGAGUCCUGUGUGCCUUAAAAAGGAUGUUAAAACAACAAAAGCUGUAGAGAAGGGCAACAAAUGCAAUCAAAGAUACAGCAGAUGUAGUGAUUGUGAACCAUAUCUGUGUUCCUUCUACAAAAGGCCUUGAAGCCAUUUAAAGUUAUAACUUUUAUGCUAUUCAUUUUCUGAUUAAAAUAAUCUUCUGUAAGUGAUUUUAUGAUACAUAUAAAUAUUAUGUUUAGCAGUCUUCAUGGGUGAAGUAAGGCUUUUCUCGUAGGCAAGGGGAAGGCUAUGCAUGCAAAUUUGGAUUCCUAAUGCGUUUCUACUAACUCUGCACUUACACUCCAACAGAAUUAAGGAAACCUGUAUUUUUAAUAUCUUCUUUUUUAUCUGUUUCUUUAUCUUCUCAUUUCAUUUCUUGCUUCCUUAUCUUUCUCUUUAUUUUCUUUUUCUGUGGGUAUAUUUUUGGCUGCAUUUUUCUCUUGCAUUUGUUUCCUUUGCCUUGAACUUUCUCCCAAAUGCCUCAGUUUUGUUCUUUUUAUCUGGACCUGCAUAUACACAUUGAAUCAUCAUUUUGCUCUCCUUCCAUUUCUACUUCCUUUCCUCUUCUACUCCAGUAUUUAUAUUUUCCCCUUUCCUCCCUCAUGUUCCCAUUUUUCCUCACCAUUUGUUGAUGUCUCUCUUUCCCAUGUACUUUCCUGUCUUUCUCUAGGUAUUUGGUACUUUAGCUCGGGAGGAAGGACUAAAGAGGGACUUGGGCCUUGAACUUUUUCUUGAUACUGCAAAACUGUGUAGAAAGUACCUUAAAAUUGUGGGGGUUGGAGUAUUUCCUAACUGACCUGUGGCAUGAGGAUGACAGAGAAAAUAAAGUCCUGUUUAGCAAAUCUAACUUCUCCUAAAAAUUCAGGCUCCAUCCUUCCAGCUGGGAACAAGAUAAUAUAAUGGGUUGUUACAAGCUGUUAAAAUUUGAGACCAAGGAGGGGGAAAUAGGCUGAAGUUAUUCCAUGAAUUGUUCCAUUCUUUGUGAGAGGCUGUUAAAAUAAAGCAACAAUAUAAAAGAUGAGUUAUAUACAAUUUAAUGUAAAGCUGUUUGAUGUCAUUAUGAUAUUUCUUCCUUGAUUGUCUAACAUUUGUGUACUUCUAAAAAGUUUUACAUUUUUUGGUUCUUUCUGAACAUUAUGAAAAUUGUACUGAGAGGAGUAAAUUCAUCUGCAUAAAAUUGACUGCAAAGAGCAAUUAGUCCUUCAUUAAUAUGCAAAUUUGGUCCAGUGCAAAUUCAUCUAUAUAUGAGGCUUAAAUAUGCAAGUCAGUCUUGCUGUGCGAGAAGCCCAGAUGCUUUUAUUUACUUUGAAAUUGAGGGAUUUGGUUAAUGAUGUUGUUGACAGGAAAACUUGAAUAAAUUUGAUGAUCACCAUCUUUCAUAUUAGAUGAGACCCACGGAAAAAAAAUUACCAAGUAAAAUACCAAUUUUAUUUGGUGAUUUCCUAUUACCAAUCUAGUAAUAAAAUGUAAGAUACAAAGUAAUAGAGUUAAAUUUCCUAACGUAGUUAUCCUGAGACUUAAACUGUUCCCCAAAGAUAGAACCAUUUUUCUUAAACUUUGUUUUCCAGAGGGUAAAGACAUCUACAUAAGCUGUAUGAAUAAUAUACUGCCUAGAGAUUUAAUAUUGGAAAGUUAGCUCUGUUGCUUGUUUCAUUUGGAGAGAGUAUAUACGCCUGGGAAUUAAAAAACAGGAGCUUUGGAAAUGGCUGUCAUCAUCAUUUUCCAUUAAUUAUCUGUAGAGUCUUCUCAAGACUUUAGUGUUAAGGCUUUUUCUGAACUUGUGGAGCCGGACUGGAAGCUGUCUGAACACAUGGUCAUUUAUAUUUGGAUCACCUAAGUUAAGUAAUAAACAUUUUCUUAAAUAUCUUUAAAUCUUUCCAUCCCUCAGUAACACAACUUUCUUACUGCUGUCACCCAACAUAGAUUGGCUGGUCUUGCCUCUUUCCUUCUCUCUGUGCUUCUGCCCCACGUACCAUGGUUCUUUUGGCACAUCCAGGAUUUCCCUGGUUUUGCCCAUUGAUGCCACAGCAGCUGUUACUUAGUUGUGUGUGGGUAGGGUUGCCUUUGCAUUUAUUAGUCUUGUUUCAUCUGCAUGGAGAGGGUGUCAGAUGUUAUUCCUCCUGGUGUUUCUUCCUUUUUCUUUCUCUGUAGUUCACUCAAACCUUAAUUUAGUUUUGGCUUAAACAACCUGGUCUUUGACUUCUGCUGUGCAGUCUUUAUCCUGGACUCAAUUUGGUUUUCUCUGUCACCUGUGACACUUUCAAAAUAGAAGGGGUAUGUAGUUUAAAUGGACUGAACUCUAUGGCAAUUUAUAAAGCUCUUGUAACUGCCCAAGGACAAGUUAAUAGAUUAUGCUGUUUGAUUCCUCUGACUUCUUGGCACAGCUGUUUGGGGUAUAAAUCCUCACAGUGGUGAACAUUUAGUUUCCAAAUAUUUAAUGUGCUGUGCUAGGCAAAAAGCUUAUAGGACAAUGUUAAGGAAAAAAGAAAAUCUAAUGAGACGCUAAAAUUGAUGUGCUUGCUCACUACAUGGUGCAGUCUUGCAGGUGAGUCCAAAAGCAGGAAAAUAGAAACAGAUUUGAAUAUUUGGGAGGAGAAGGGGAGGAGUCUGUUAGUCUUGUAAAGGGUCUGGUUAUUGUUCAAAGGAAUCUCCUUUCUUACACUGAAAUAAGGCAUUGACAGCUGUCGGAAGGCAUGGUAUAGAGGAUAUACUUCCAGUACUUAAUACUUUAGGAGGUGAAAGUUCAAAACCACAACAUCUUCUGAGACUUAAAUAGUCUUUGCCUUUGAGAACACAUAAUAGCUGGACAGUUUCUAGUAUUGUUCAGUGCCAUCCACAGUGUUCUUGGUUUUCUGAUCUAGCUCCCAAAAGAAGGAAAAUAUUCAUUUUCAAAUAUAUGAACAGUAGGCAUCUCAGCACAACCUGAGGUUGUCUCCUAUCAACUAUAUAAUCUUUAUAUUCUAGAUUAAUAAACACUUCAGCCUUGGAGUUUAUUAGUCCAAAAUAUAUUUAUUACCUUAUAAAUUCAAACCCCCUCCAGUUAUCAUCUAAUUAAAUUGCAACACUGUGCAUGCUAUCUUUGGGGAUGUAUUAAUAAUGAAAUUAUCUUGUGAAACAGUAAUUACAUGCUUUGUGCAUUCUUUUCCAUACUUUUUUUUUUCAGUGUCUAUGUGAUGAUUGGGGCACACAGUACUCCAUUGUUCUGAGCUCCUCCAAACUCCAUACUUAUCCAAGGAUAAGCAGGCUUAUUUUUUUCCUCUUGGAAAAAGAGAGAAAAGUUUGUGCGUUUUUGUACUUGGGAAGGGGAAGGACCAAUAUCGCUAGGCUAGGAACAGUUAUGAAGCAUGAUUGUGCAAGUAAUUCUAUAUCAUGUUUUCUCCUCGCUCUUUGACUUUACUCACAGGAAUAAAAACUACUUGCAGGAUCUUUUCUGUAAGGCAGUUCUUACUGUAGUUGCCAAAAGUGAAGAUGACCACUUUAUUUGCAAGAGAAUAUUCAUUUAUAGGCCUUCACUGGUGACGUAGAAUUGAAUAAAAGGAAAAUAGUCUUAAAGCCUUCCUCAGGAGAGAGAUUUACUUGCAAUUUUUUCAGUGUAAUUGUUUUGAGUCUCUAAGUUCUCAUUUUAUGGAAAACAUUAUGGCUGAAGGUAUAAAGAAGAUAACAUUAAGGAUUUUGCUCACUUAUGAUGAUUACUCUGGAAACAAACGCAACUCAGGAGACAAAUGUUAUGAGCUACCUGUAAGUUCUGGUCCACAGAACAGGUAAGGAGCCAGGGAUACUUCUGAACUUGCAAAUGAAAUUUAUCCUCAAUGUAACGGUUGAGCUCGUUGUCUGCUGCUCUUUCUAAACGUGAAGUAAGGAAUGAAAUGCUCAUAUAUUCUAUAUAGAACAGCUGACAUGUUUUAUGCAUUCCUGUGUUUGCCUAAAAAGUCAUGGAUAAUCAACUUAAUUUGAUGUGCAAAAUACAAUGCAUGGAUGAAUUCUGAUACAUAUCCCUCACCAUGUCUGCGCUGUUACGAGAGGCAAAAACUUCCAGAAAAGAAACAGCAAUGAAAACCUUCCUGAUAGUUUUCUCAUAAUUUUUUCUCCAAGGACAUACCUGUAGAUAAGUAAACUGAGACACAGAAGCCGGGUUCCUCCAAGCUGUGAAGUGAAUCGAUGCCAAGCCCAGCGUUAGACACUAGAUUAAUCCUUUCUUCCAGAAGUCGAGCUGUGCGGUUUCAGGCCAAAGAAAUGGAUUCUCAGUGAGUGAAGAUUUGGUGUCAUCCUGAAAUCAAUGGGGAAAUGCAAGGGUACAUUUGCUGUGCAUCAAGCCCACCCUGUUUUGUUGCAUGGGAUUUCUGCUCCCUCUCCCAAAUCUGUUUUACCAAAGGAUAAUUUUUCCUCUAGAGGGAAAACCAUACCAGCUCUUGUGCACUAAUGCCAAGCGCUGCUUUCUUUUAUUUCCUUUGAAGCACUGGAUUUCUCCUUCAGGAGGUGGUGUGACUUAAUGUCGUCUCCCUGCGCAGCGAGGUAACUGCUCUAGUGACCAAAGCAGUGUGCUGAAACUUGGGAGGGCCUUGGUGUGCCCCUCGACACCCCUGGCAGCAUGGGGUGAAUUCUCCUCGCACCGCAGUCCUCGUCUGCAGUCGCCACAGAGAAAACCAUCUGUUCCACUUGGAAAGGGGUUGGGUUCCACACGCCCUCCCCCCCGCAUCCCGGCUCCAGCCCCAGCUGCCGUGUUUCGAUGAGCACUGAGGGGAUGAGUCUCCUGUGUUAAAAAUACUCUGGUUCUAUUUGGAUAAAAAGAAGAAUCUUCCUUGCCUACACUGCCACACAAAAAUAGUCUUAGUGUGAGUAAAUCUUCAAAGUUCCUCUUGGUGAAAAUAUCUAGCCUUGCUUUUUUUUCUUUAACUUCUCAUAUAAAUUUAUUUAUAGAAUGCCCUUCUUUCCUCCUACUCUACUGCAGAAGGUUGCCACUCGUCUCGUUCAUGAGUCCUGAAAUAAGUUGCAGGGCCUUUGAAACAUCA